rnacentral:lncRNA from 1 species
CUGCAGUACUUUUUGUGUGGUGUGGAAGUGUUUGUUUUUUGCAAUAGAUUUUUGUUGCAGUUUAGGUUUGUAUUUUCUUUGUUUUGUAGUGCUUAUUAUGAAGGUUCGUAGGUUUAUGUCUGUAGGCCAGGCAGGUCAUUAAACUUAACAAAGAAUAAGUAAGUCGGGAGAGGGGAAUAGAAAUCUCCACAUACAUAUUCUUAAAAGCUGUAACACUCACCACAAAGAUCUGCUGAGUGAAGUCUGUGAGACGAACGCACCAAGUCUGGACGCUCUGUCAGGCUACAUUUUACGUUUUUGGGAGUGAGCAGGUGUUAUUCUGUUCCCCGGGUUGGUUUUGAAGUCAUGGCUCUCAAGUAAUUUUUGUGCUUCUCAAAAGUGCUGGAAUUGCAAAGAGUUCAAACAUUGAAUUAGUUGUGCAAUGGAAGGAGUAUUACCAGGACCCAGAUGCAGCCCAAGGAAAAAAGAAAACAAAAGGAGACACACACAGUAAGUGGUGUCUCAUUGUGAUUUGGAUUUGCAUUUCCCUAGUGAUUAGUGAUGGGAAACAUAUUUUCAUGUGUUAUUGGUCAUUUGUUUAUCUUCUUUGGAGAAAUAUUUAUUCAAGUCCUCUGCUCUCUUUUUUUUUUUUUUUUUUAGUCAGAGUCUCGCUGUAUUAGUCUGCUCUCACACUGCUCAUAAAGACAUACCUGAAGCUGGGUAAUUCAUAAAAGAAAGGUUUAAUUGACUCACAGUUCCACAUUGCUAGGGAGGCAAAGGAGGAGCAAAGUCACAUCUUAAAUGGCAGCAGGCAAGAAAGUGUGUGCAGGGGAACUUCCCUUUAUAAAACCAUCACAUCUUGUGAGAUAUCCACUAUCACAAGAACAGCACAGGAAAGACCUGCCUCUAUGAUUAAGUUACCUCCCACUGGUUCCCUCAUGACACAUGGGAAUUAUGGGAACUACAAUUUAAGAUGAGAUUUGGGUAGGGACACAGCCAAGCUAUAUCACUUGCUGUGUUGCCUACGCUGGUCUCCAACUCCUGGGCUCAAGUGAUCCUCCCACAUUGGCCUCCCAGUAGCUGGGACUACAAGCUUGAGCCACUGCACCUCCUUUGCACAUUUUUAAAUCAGAUAGUUUUGUUUUUGUUGUUGUUGAGUUGUAGGAGCUAUUUAUGUAUUCUGGAUAUUAACACCUUAUCAGAUGUAUGAUUUGCAAACAUUUUUUCCCCAUUCCAUUGGUUGCCUUUUCACUCUGUUGAUUGUGUCCUUUGAUGCCGAGAAGUUUCUAAGUUUAAUGUAGUAUAAUUUAUCUAUUUUAUGGCUGGGCCUGGUGGCUCACACCCGUAAUCCCAGCACUUUGGGAGGUUGAGGUGGGUGGAUUGCUUGAGCCUAAGAGUUUGAGACCAGCCUGGGCAACAUGGCAAAACCUUGCCUCUACUAAAACACAGAAAAAUUAGCCAGGUGUGGUGGCAUGCAUCUGUGAUCCCAGUUAUUCGACAAGCUGAGAUGAGAGGAUUGCUUAAGCCUGGCAGGUUAAGGCUGCAGUGAGCCAUAAUUAUGGCAAUGCACUCCAGUCUGGGUGACAGAGCAAGACCCUGUCUCAAACAAACAAAACAUUUAUCUAUUUUAUUUUUGUGGCUUGUGCUCUUGGUAACACAACCAAGAAAUCAUUGUCAAAUCCAAUGUCAUUGUAAAGCUUUCCCUCUAUGUUUUCUUCUAGAAAUUUUAUAGUUUAGGCCUUACAUUUAGGUCUUUGAUCUAUUUUAUGUUAAUUGUUACAAACGGUGUAAGGUAAGGGUCCCACUUUCUUCUUCUGCAUGUGGACAUUCAUGUUUUCCCAAUAUUAUUUGUUGAAAAGACCCCUUUCUCCAUUGAAUGGUCUCAACACCCAUGUAAAAAGUCAUUCAAUCAUAUAGGCAAGGGUUUACUUCUGGGCUUUCUCUUCUAUUCCAUUGGUCUAUGUGUCUGUUUUUAUGCCAGUACCACACUGUUUUGAUUAUUGUUACCAUAUAUGACUGUCUAAAAAAUUUUAUGUAUGUAUAAAAAUUUUUAUGUAUACAUAAAAUUUAUACAUACAUAAAAUUUUUUUUGAGACAGUCUUGCUCUGUUGCCCAGGCUGGAGUGCAGUGGCACAAUCUAGGCUCAGCUCACUGCAACCUGCGCUUCCUGGCAAGCGAUUCUCGUCUUGUAAUAUAUUUUGAAAUCAGGAAGUGUGAUGCCUCCAGCUUUGUCCUUCUUUCUCAAGCUUAUUUUGGCUAUCCAGGGUCCCUUGAGAGUCCACAUAAAUUUUAGGAUAAAUUUUUAAUUGGAUUUUUUAAUAGGGAUUACAUUGUUUGCUUAAUGUAAUCAUAAUGCAUAUGAUUUUCUUAUGCCCCCAACAAAUAUGAAAUCAUAGUCAUAAUCAUUUGCUAAAUGAUUACAUUAAGAUUGUUUUGGGUAGUGUUGACAUUUUAACAAAACUAAGUCUUCCAAUCAUGAGCACAGAUGUCAUUCCAUUUAUUUGUGUCUUCUUUAAGUGCUUUCAGCAAUGUUUUAAAGUUUUAGCGUACAGUCUUUUGUCUUCUUGGUUAAGUUUAUUUCCAAGUAUUUUAUUCUUUUUGAUACUAUUGUAAAUGAAAUUGCUUUUGUAAUUCCCUGCAGCCUCUUUCAUGCUCUGAGCAGAACUGCAUUGCAUACAAUCAAUCACCUACACUCACAGGCAAGAAUGUACUACUAUUGUAAUAAUGUAAAUUUUUCUAAAAUCACAAAAUGGAAAAUGCAUCUUAUUUGCUUUUAACGUUUUAGCAGAUGAUGUGGUCAAGUAAAUAAAUAAAAGGAGAGAAAGAGAAGUUCUGUGUGUGUGUGUGUGUGUGUGUGUGUGUGUGUGUGUGUGUGUCUGUCUGUCUAAGAUCCUUUUGUUGUUUGCUUUGGCCUAGUUUCUUAUGCUUUGAGGAAAAGCUCAUUCUCAUUCAUGUGACUUGCUUUGGCUAAUAGGACACCAGAGCAUGAUGCAAGUGUGGCUUAAUCGGUGCUUGCACAUUGGGCUUGUUCUUUCCAAACCUGUUGCCCCGAUUCUGCAAGGCUAUCCUGCUGUAGAAGGAGGCCCUGGAGGACAAGACACCAUGUGGGGAAAACAGCCAUGGGGAGCAGAACCGAGGUAUCCCAGCUUAGCUCCCAACUGACAGCAGCCACAUGAGUGAGCAGAAAAACAACUUCCAAGGGUGAUUUAGCUACUGCUGCUGUGGAAUGUCAAAACUUUCAGCAAGGGAGCCCGAUGCAGAUCUGUUGAUAUGACACCAUUCCACAAGAAGACCAACUGAUGGCUUUGUGGCAAGUUGACUACACUGGGCUGUUUCUAUUCUGGGAAGACAGAGAUUUGUUCUAAGAGGAAUAGGCAUGUGUUGCAGGCAUAGGUUGACCUUUCCUGCCAUGGAGCCUCCUCUGGUACCACUAUUUGAAGGUUGAAGGAAUGUUGAUUCACCAGGAUUGAGUCAGACCAGCCAAGCCUAUGACCAUGAUGUCAACUGACUGUAUCACCUGUCACAUCAUCCAGAAGCUACAGACUUAUAAGGCAUUGGAAUAACUUGUAGAUGGCCCCGUUAAAGUACCAGCUUAGAGGCAACACUCCAUGAGAAUGAGACAUCAUCUCCAGGAUGGCACAUACACAUUGAAUCACACAGCAUUGAUAAGGAGAUGGCUCCCCAGUAGGAAGAAUAUAUUGGUCAUGAACCAAGGGAUGAAGCAGAAGUGUCUUGCUUCCUGUCCCUGCAGCCUCUCUUUCUGCAGUGCUAGAAAUCCUGGUCAAAAGGGGGCAUAAUUUUAUCAGGGGACACAGCAAAAGUCUCCACUACAUUGCAGCUAUGCCUGCUGCCUGGGGAUUUUGGGCUUCUUAUAAUUGGGACCAGCAAUAAAAGAGAAGAGUCACAGUCUUGGCAGGGCUAAUUGACCCUGAUCAGCAGGAGAAGAAAGGCUGUGGUUCCACUAUGAGGGUAGGGAAGACGUGUGGCACCACUGAUCCACUUUUGCAACCCAUGGUACUCCCGUGGCCAGUUGUGAUGACAGACAAGUGCAGGAACACUUUUGGGAAGGGCAUGGUGGCCAGAGUUCAGACCCCAUGGGAAUGAGGACCAGGGUCACACCACUGGAUAAGCCAGGAGGAAGAGAGGCCCACUGGAAGGCUGGAGGAGCUGCUCCCCAGAUGUAGAUGAAGUAGAUUUGAGCAGCACAGUGGUGGACCUAGUAGAGGCGGACAUCAAGAUCCUCUUCAAGGAAAGAUUAUCAAUAUAGUUUUCCCUGACCCAGGUGCCAUGUGUUUUCUGUCAUAUUCACGUAUGCUAAUACAUAAUUGUGCAAGUGGGGUAAUAUCUGGGACACUUCAUGGUUCAUAUCAAAACACAGAGUGAAGAGAACAUCCUCUGGGCCAUCUCAGAGUGUGAGUUUGGGGCGGGGGUGGCUCCUGGUUAACAUUUCUGUCCACUGCAGCAUUCCUUUUCCCUUUUGCUUUUAGAUUCUUCCCUUGACAUCACACCAGGAAAGUCUGACAACUUAACUUUAUUGGAUAUAGGCAACCGUUGAAUCCAAGUUUUGCCCACUGAAUCCAUCAAAUUGUUACAGCCAAUUCUAGAUGCCUGAGUGGACACAUGAAAUCCAGAUUCCCCAGUAAGCGCAUCCCCAUUAAUAAACUGACCAAAUGCAAUGUUAAUCUGUUCUAUAACCUUUAGAAUCCAUCCCAACAUAUAUUUUUUAGGUUCCUGCCAAGAUAUGUUAGCAAAAGCUUGCAAUUUUUUGAAAAAUGAAUUAUCUCUUCCUGGGACAUGUGUUGUACUUUUCUCUCUGAAAUAGGCUGAGCUCUGACUCCAUUAAAAGUCUGAAAGCAAUGAAGAGUGAAGGAGCGGAUAUUGGGGAGAAUAGGCAUCCUCUUGCAAGAUAACUGCCUCAAAGUCAUUAUAAGGUUUUCAAGCAAGAGAAAGCUAAUUUCCUUACACAUAUGAAGAAGCGUUGCUUCUCCUGGCAAGAAAUACACAGUGAAUCAGGGAUUCAAAAUUCUUAGCUUUAUCUAAGUUUACCCAGAUGUGUCUAUCCUUCCCAAUCAGUGCUCUUGGCAGGAGACUUGGCAAGUCUGCGAAGUCAACUUAUGUUAUAAUUCUGCAACCCACACAAGUUCUUAUUUUCAAUGAGGGUAACCUUGCAGCCACACAAAAUAGCAAAAUUUUUUAAGGAGUACCAUAGACACACUCUGGUUCUCUGUGUUCAGUGUUUUAAGCCUAUCUUUUUGUUCCCCUGUAAGCUCUUCAAUGUAGUCCAAAAUACACCAUCUGUGGUAGGCAGAAUUCUAAGAAGGUUCCAAAGAUUCUCACCCAUGGUGUAGAGAACUUGUAUAAUUUUCUCCCCUAAAGUGUAGGUGGAGCCCGUGAAUAGGAUGGGAUAUUAAUACCAUGAUUGUGUUAUAUUUUGAGACAAAAAAAAUUUUGUAGAUGUAAUUAAAGGUACUAAUCAGUUGACUAUGAGUUUAUCAAAAGGGAGAUCAUCCAGGUGGGCCUGACCUAAUCAUAUCAGCCCUCUAAAUCCUGGUCUAUGGGUCAGAGAAAGAGGAAGGCAGAGAUUUAAAGCAUGAGAGAAAUUCAAAGCAAACUAGAUUCUCCAUUGCUGUCUUUGAAGACAGGCAGCCAUGUGGCAAGGAAUGUGGGUAGCCGAUAGUGGCCGAUGACAGCUCCCAGCCCACACUUCAAGUUUAGCCUCGUAGGGCCCUGAGCAGGGGACACAACUAUACUGCAUUUACAAC